UGUUAAUACAAAUAAUUAUCAAUUAAUCUGCACAUGUAUCGGUCGGUAUUAAUCAAUGAAGUAAUGGAAAAUUUUAAAUGUACAAGAAAAACUUUUAAUACUUACCGCAAUAUGUAACAAAUAUCAGAUUACUUUAACAAAUACUUAAUCAAUCUUAUCCCAAAGUUAGUUAUAAAUCAAAUAUCGCCUUCCAAUUUAACGCAUGUAGUAAAUCUCUGUCGCGUUACCUAUAACCCGUUAGCAUUUUUUCGUUUCCUAUACGGCCAGCGCGAUUGGUCGCGUAAACCAGCUAGGAAACGGAAUCGAUAAUCGAGCACUCCGUUUCCUAGCUGGUUAGCGCGAUGUUAUGUUGGUUGUGCAGGUUGUUUUGGUCAGUCGGCAUUUUCACGUGCACGAUUAAGUUAUUUUCGGUUUAUUUGCUGAUUGUUUGUCAUACAUGCAACAAUACCUACUCGAAGCGAAGCUGUGAAUUUUUGUAAUUUCCCGGAAAUUAAAGCGUGUGACGUGUGUUCCUAAUUUUAUACAUAAAUGUAUGUAUGAAAUAUUUAUUUGUAAUUAAAAUGAAUCUUGAACAAAUCGAAAACUCGUUAAACGCAUUUUCUACCUACAAAAUAGUGGAUAAAACAAAACAAUCAGAAGUCACUAUUAGAACGUGUUUCGUCCGAAGUGGUGAUCAGACUUUACAUGAUUGUUGCACAAAGUGGAUUAAAACAUUUUCUACCUUAACAUCCACGGAUUGGAUUAUAGGUAAAACAUACAAUAAUUUGCAAAGGCUGGUAUUUAGGAAAGAUUUUGUUGGCCAAAACAGUAGCAAAAAUAAAAAGCAUAUAAAAGUAACUACUAGAAAUAGAAAUAAAAACUGUAGUGCAAAAAUUGUUGUGAAAGUAAAAAAGAACAACAAGGACAGCAGAUACAUAGAUGCGUACUUAAAGGAAGGACUAGACACUGUGAUUGUGAUUAAUUUUGACCAUUCCCAUAGAACAAACGUCGCUGAAACUUUCAGUUUUCUAAGAGUUUCACCGAAAACCAGAGACCUUUUUAUACAGUAUUUUGAAGACAACAUGUCUCCAAGUGAAGCAAAGUCCUUCCACAGAGCUUCCUUAAUGGCAGCUACACCAGUCGAAAAAUUAGUAGAAGUUCUUGCGAAUGCGCAAAUAAACCCCAUGGAAGCAUAUAUAAUAUGUAUGAAACUUGGAGGUAAACUUGUACUAAAGAUAUGGACGCAAACCAGAGAUUCUUGGAUGAAAGCAAUAAAAAAAAAGAGCAAAAAGCAUCUGGUUCCACCGACAAAUCUUCAAGGUUAUAUAUAUAUAUCAUAUGCA